rnacentral:rRNA from 1 species
UACGGGGGGGGGGCAAGCGUUUGUUCGGAAUUACUGGGCGUAAAGGGCGCGUAGGCGGUCUACUAAGUUGGAUGUGAAAACUCUGGGCUUAACCCAGAGCCUGCAUUCAAAACUGAUAGGCUGGAGUUCUGGAGGGGAUAGCGGAAUUCCUGGUGUAGCGGUGAAAUGCUUAGAUAUGACAUAGAACACCAAUUGCGAAGGCAGCUCGCUACACAUAUAUUGACUCUGAGGCACGAAAGCGUGGGGAUCAAACAGG